rnacentral:misc_RNA from 1 species
AACGCACAUUGCGCCCUUUGGUAUUCCUUAGGGCAUGCCUGUUCGAGCGUCAUUUAAACCUUCAAGCUCAGCUUGGUGAUGGGUGACUGUCCUCCCCUCGCGGGGGGACUCGCCUCAAAAACAUUGGCGGCCGGUACAUUGGCUUCGAGCGCAGCAGAAACGCGGUCUCGAGCCCGGUGGAUCGGCUCCCAUAAGUCCAUUCUUUUAUUUUGACCUCGGAUCAGGUAGGGAUACCCGCUGAACUUAA